rnacentral:lncRNA from 1 species
AAAUUUGAGAUUAACUGCAAUUGACGAGAUUUUAAUAGUUACCUUUGUACUUAGAAAAGUCAACCAAAAAGCCAUAAAAAGAAAUAAUAAGGUAGAAUGUUUUUUCUUUGUAUAUGGUGUAGAUAAUAUUGUCUCCUCAAAUUUGCAUUACAUCCAUCUAAACAAGUGGUUUUACAAAAUAUAUAUAUAUAUAUAUAUAUAUUUAUGUCUUUAACAAAGUAUUAAUUAAGGACAUAUAUAGAGAGAAUCACAUAUUUGUAAACUGUAUUUUAUUAUAAUUUUUAAAGUAAAAUUUAUACAAAAAUAAAUAAAUUAAUCACUGUCAUGAUCUAUUCUUAUUUUAAAUUAUUAGUAAAGACCAAGGCUUGCAAAUUGCAACUUUUUUCUAUCAAGCAAGUAAAUUUCAAAAGAGUUUUGAACUAAAGUCUUAUAAAGUGAGCUUCUAUGUAUAAUUACCCUUUGGAAACACACACCAACAACUCAAUAUAAUCUUUCUCACAAGUGAAUCCAUCAUACCUAUGUAAUUUUUUUUAUUUUUAUUUCAAAUUAUAUUUACAAAUUUUGAUAUUUUAUAAGAACUCUGUCUAUUACAAUAACUUGAGGACCUCAUUAAAUAUUUUAUUAUUGUUGCCUACUAAAUCAUCAAAGAAGUUCAAUAUUCAAAAACAAGGAAAUACAGGCUUUAAAACAUAAGAAUAUAAAUUAACCACGUGUUAAUUAUAAAACAUACAUAAUUGAACAAUUUAAAAACUAUAAUUAAGUAAUCUUAUUAUCAUUAUUAUUAUAGAUUAUUAAAUAUUCAUUGUCCAAACAAGUCAUAACAUACACUUAUCCAUGUGCAGUUUUAUUUCAUUGUUAAAGUAUAUAAAAUUUUGGAUUAUGCUUAAAUUUCAUUUAACUUGUUUAAAAUUGUGUAAAUUUCACUUUAAAAACAAUAGAUUCUUAAAUGGAUGCCGAUAGUUAAUUUCUUAUCUGACAUAUUUUGAUCCAACAUAAAUAGAAGUAAAAAUACAUAACAUAUGAUAGAGAAAAAAAAGUAAGUCUAAGAAGUUACAAGACAUUUUAGCUACAAAUUUAUUUAUGACAAUUCUAUAAUAAAUUAUGUGAAAAUCUGGCACAAUAGAAAUUUUUUCGUAAUUUUUAAAUAAUCUAAGUAUUAUAUUCUUGAAUGAUUUUUAAAUUGGGGGCUUUGUUAAAAUUCAUUGUAAAUGUUAAAGUUUUAAUGAAAUUGAUAAUAUGGAACUCAAAAUCAUUUCGUAACGAGAUUCUUCUUCUUUUGCAGAAAUGUAUUUUAUUAGUCAAACAAAAAUUCAAUGUAAGGAAUUAAAACCCGCAGCCAUUUUUACAAAAAAAAAAAAAAAAAAAAAAAAAAAAAAAAACUUAAAAUUGUGAAAUACAUAAAAUGGGAAACUCAAUCAAACAAAGGGUGAAAUAAUUUUAUGUGCAGUAUACAUGAUUCUUUUUAGAUAGUUUCUCUCAAUUAUUAAAAUUUAAUUAAAUACUACCAAUAAUCACUGUUGACCACAUUUGUCUUUGGCAGUAAAGUUGUUCUGUUGUUGUGUUCGAAACCAUAUUAGAAUUUUGGAUCAAAUUCACGUGUGCCUUGGAUUCGAAGAUUUAAGUUAACAAAUAAUAUAUAUACAUAUAUAUAUAUAUAUAUAUAUAUAUAUAUAUAUAUAUUUCAUCAUUAUCCUCUAAAAGAAAUUUAUGCUUGCAAAUUUUUAUGAAUGCCCCUGCAAAGUUUUUGAUACAGUAUUUUCUUUUACAAAUUUGAGAAAGAAAAAUAAGAGAUGAGUUUCUAACUUUAAUCGCCCUUUUUACUGUUAUUUAUUUAUUUGUUUGUUUUAUUGUUGAAAUUAAUUAAUACAUCAAUACAAGUUAAUAAAAUCACGUUAAUUUCUUUGAGUAACCACCCACUUCAACAUACAGGUUACGGUGCUAUUGAUUUUUCUUUAGUAAAAUUUAAACAAUAAAAUUAAAAACACAUAUUCAAUCCUCAAAAGUUUGAGCACCAAUGUGCUGGUCACUUUAACCAUUUAAUAAGCUAACACUCCAACAUUUUAACAUUAGCGUUCAAUUCAUAAUUCCUUCUACAAAAACUUAUAUCAUGUUCACACUUUUUUUUUUAAAAGUAUUCAGAUAAUCCCAUUCUCGUGCCAAAGCAAUGAACAAAACCCAAAAUUUGAUGAAAAGAAAUAUAUACAUAUAUAUAUGCAUUACAAAAAAUACAUAAAAGUUUGAAAAUGGCAUCCCGGAAUAAAAGAUCCAUCCACAUCCGAAUUAAUUAGCUACUUACAAAAAUCUCACUUUAAACCGCAAAAAUAUCAUAUAUUUUCUACUCUUAAUCUAAAAAAAACACAUAUUAAAUUAUAUAAUUUUAUACUCCACUUAUGUUUAAAAAUAUGUUACGUGUUUGUAGCUGCCAGAAUGGCAGAGAAAGUACAAUCUAAGGUACAAACAAGAAGUACAUUGUGUGACUAUUUAUUCCCUUUGAAUAAACAAAUACCCAUAAAUUGGAGACAAGUUUAUCCAUACAUACCUCUCUCACCCUAUUCUUAUACGCCUACAGGUAGUUGUUCAUACUUUUUAAAGUAUUUUUUUAAUAUUUUCUAUAUAUAUACAAAUAUAUUUUGAAGAAAAGGUUAAGUAUUCAAGCUAUGGCAUGGCCCUUCGCAACCCCAAAAUGAAGACAUCCAAUAAGUUAAAAAGGAGUUGGGAUUUGCUAUUGGAGCGAUGUACGAGGGUCAACACCUCUCCCUCAUAAAUUACAAGUUGUGGGCUAUAGUGCCAAUCAUGCUUUAUUUGGACAAUCUCAAAGUUUUAAAUUCUAGUCCAAAAUAUCGUAAGCAUAGGAUAUGAUGUAGAAUAAGACAAGAAUAACAAAACAAUAAUAUUAAAAUUGUUCAUCUUUAUUAUAUAUGUAUAUUCAAAAAUGUUGUCAUAAACAAA